rnacentral:lncRNA from 1 species
ACGAAAGUCCAAGGGUUGCUUGUAAUUUUGGUUUGGGGCACCAUUUCUUUGCCAUGCGGUUUGUCCUGUCUGAUAUCUGUCCUGUUUUUGCUGUUUGUCUGUCUCCAUACUAACCACCCCAUCCCUGGAUUCCACCUCAACUGUGAUCUGCACAUGUGCCAGGAGGAUUACAGACUGCUGCUCUGAGGACACCCAGGAGACUGACAGGCACUGAAGAAUCUUCAUCUCAAGUCAGUGUCAAGGCUGGUCACUGAGCAACCCUUCACCUAAACUGCUAGAAAUUACUCCAGACAGUGGACAAGAGGACAAUGGAAUCAACUUUCCCCCCUUUGCUUGGGCCAAAGGAACUUGGCUCAGUGCUUACCUGUGCUGGUACAGCCUUGCAAACAUGGUGAAUAUUCUUAAGAGCUGCCAGACUUUCUACAAACAUUUUAAACACCAGCCCGACAAAGUGACACAGCACAACAAGAGUUGAUUAGAAUCCUCGGUCUGUUGAAG